rnacentral:rRNA from 1 species
CAAUAGCGUAUAUUAAAGUUGUUGCAGUUAGAACGCUCGUAGUCGGAUUUCGGGGCGGGCCGACCGGUCUGCCGAUGGGUAUGCACUGGUCGGCGCGUCCUUCCUUCCGGAGACCGUCCCUACUCUUAACUGAGCGGGGGCGGGAGACGGGACUUUUACUUUGAAAAAAUCAGAGUGUUUCAAGCGGGCAGCUCGCUCUUGCAUGGAUUAGCAUGGGAUAAUGAAAUAGGACUUUGGUGCUAUUUUGUUGGUUUCGAACACCGAAGUAAUGAUGAGAAGGGACAGUCAGGGGCACUCGUAUUCCGCCGAGAGAGGUGAAAUUCUCAGACCAGCGGAAGACGAACCACUGCGAAAGCAUUUGCCAGGGAUGUUUUCACUGA